rnacentral:rRNA from 1 species
UACGUAGGGCGCAAGCGUUAUCCGGAAUUAUUGGGCGUAAAGAGCUCGUAGGCGGUUUGUCGCGUCUGCUGUGAAAACCCGAGGCUCAACCUCGGGCCUGCAGUGGGUACGGGCAGACUAGAGUGCGGUAGGGGAGAUUGGAAUUCCUGGUGUAGCGGUGAAAUGCGCAGAUAUCAGGAGGAACACCGAUGGACGGAAGGCAGGUCUCUGGGACCACUACUGACGCUGAGAAGCGAAAGCAUGGGGAGCGAGCAGGA